UACGGAGGGUGCGAGCGUUGUCCGGAAUCACUGGGCGUAAAGGGCGCGUAGGCGGCCUGAUAAGUAGGGGGUGAAAUCCUGCGGCUUAACCGGAGGGCUGCCUUCUAAACUGUCAGGCUGGAGCACAGUAGAGGCAGGUGGAAUUCCCGGUGUAGCGGUGGAAUGCGUAGAGAUCGGGAAGAACAUCAGUGGCGAAGGCGGCCUGCUGGGCUGUUGCUGACGCUGAGGCGCGACAGCGUGGGGAGCAAACAGG
rnacentral:rRNA from 1 species